rnacentral:piRNA from 1 species
UGUAAUGUUCUGGGGUCUGUGGACCU